UGGAUUAGAGAGAGGGAAAGAAGAAGAUGAAGAAGGAGAAGCAGCAAAGCGAGUUUGAGUUCUGCAAAGCGUGCAACAUAAACCACGACCAAGGUCUCCGCCACAAGUACUUCCCCAACCACAAGAAAUCGCUUUCCAGCUUCCUAUCCCGCUUCCGUAAAAAACUCUCCGACGUUCGCUUCUUCCUCAACGCCCCUAUCCCUCUCGAUCCCCAACUCGCUUCUCGCAAUCGCUUCUGGUGUGUCUUCUGCGACCAAGACGUCCACGAACACUCUAGUUCCUUUGCCUGCGCCAAUGCGAUUCGCCACCUCGCCAGUGCCCAACACGUGAAGAAUUUGAGGCAUUUCUUCUGGAAAUACGGCGCUGCCGCGAAUCAAUUGGACGCGUUUAUGUUUUCCGAAGAUGAUGUGACUAAGUGGGAGAGGAAGUGCGAGGUGCGAAAGGAUGAAACGAGUGAGGGAAGUCGCAGAACGGUGGUGGGUCCUUCAAGUGAUGAUCAUAUCCAUAAUCAACUCACCAGUGGAAAUAGUGAUAGUUUUGAGAAAAAUGUUUAUUCCCAUUCUGUGAAUUCGUAUCCUUCAAAUCCUGUUUUGCCUUUACAAAGCUAUACAAAUGAGUAUCAGAUAUCUAGUUCAGGACUCUCUGGAAUCGCUUAUGUUGCUACCUCGUCGGAAACGUGCCCUGAUGCUAAACCGUUUGCUUUGCCAGAUCUUUUGGUUGAAAGGAGAAGCCAUUCUCUCCCUCAUGAUGGUAGACAAUGGUCAAGUAAUGGUUACUCCGGUCAUAAACAGACUAUCAAAAGUCGUUCGGCGGUAACUUCAUUGGGGCGUGACAAUGGUAGAAUGGUCAGUGGUGAAAGCAUUCAUGAGGGUGUACAAUUGAUCACUCAGAUUUCUUCUGUGCCAACUGAAAGUGCUGAUAAAAAAGUUUAUUCUGAAGCACCUCCACCAUGGAUUGACACAACUGAGGCAGUUCAGAUGCAUUCUAAUUCAAACAAGUUGGGGAAGUCCAAAAUGUUGAAUCCAAAUCGGGUAGGAGCAGCUUGGGUUGGAAAGAGAAAGAUUGAAAUGGAGAAGGAAAAGAGGGGAGAGAUAAAAAGGAAUGGGUGUGAUGCCAACUGGCUUCCUAAUUUUGGUAGAGUCUGGCAAUCUGGUAGCAGAAGAGAAUCCAGGAAAGAGUUUGAGAGGGAGAAACAGUUACCAAAGUUAAAUGUUGAAGCAGAGUCUAAGAUGGCAAUCAAGAUACAGCCUUAUGUAAGCAAAAGAAUGCGGAUGGAUUAUCGGGGUGAUAAUGGAAGCGGAUGAAAUUUCUUAUCGCAAAGAUGCUCGGGGAGUGAAAUCCGUAUGGUAAAUAUGCAUAGCAACAUCUAUUGCAUUGGAGUUAUUGGGUGCCUAUUACCGCCUACCAGCUUGCUUUUGAAUGUAGGAAUGGUUACUAUUGAAUAUUAAUAUUCAGAUCGGCGCUGCCUUUCAACAUGUUGCGCUUUUACAUUGAAUGGAACAAACUUAUCCAAAGAUGUACAGAGUACUGGGAUUAUACUUGCCAGCUAUACAAAGAAUACCACUGUAAUGUCCUGUAUCUUAACUCCUAAAUUUAAUCUUGCAUUUCAAUUAUUUUUGUGGUACUAACUUCUCUCCAAUAUUUACACCGAGACAAAGUAUGAUAAAUUUUUCAUCAAACAGUAGAAUCGCGACUAAAACCUAUACUGAUUUGUUUAUUUAGUGAAUCGUACUAUUAGGAGUUCAGCAGUAUAUAGACCUAAAUAAUUUAUGAGA